rnacentral:rRNA from 1 species
UAGGGAAUCUUCGGCAAUGGACGAAAGUCUGACCGAGCAACGCCGCGCGAGUGAAGAAGGUUUUCGGAUCGUAAAACUCUGUUGUUAGAGAAGAACAAGGACGUUAGUAACUGAACGUCCCCUGACGGUAUCUAACCAGAAAGCCACGGCUAACUACGUGCCAGCAGCCGCGGUAAUACGUAGGUGGCAAGCGUUGUCCGGAUUUAUUGGGCGUAAAGCGAGCGCAGGCGGUUUCUUAAGUCUGAUGUGAAAGCCCCCGGCUCAACCGUGGAGGGUCAUUGGAAACUGGGGGACUUGAGUGCAGAAGAGGAGAGUGGAAUUCCAUGUGUAGCGGUGAAAUGCAUAGAUAUAUGGAGGAACACCAGUAGCGAAGGCGGCUCUCUGGUCUGUAACUGACGCUGAGGCUCGAAAGCGUGGGGAGCAAACAGG